ensembl:lncRNA
GUGUUUUAUUUUGGUACUCUGGUAAUAAUCACCUCCAGCGUGUACAGUGUCAUUCCCUACAGAAGGCUGGAUGUUCUCAAAGCUGUAGUAUUUACGUCUGUGAAGUUUUUCUCUACACGGUGUGUUUUUUGAAACUACUUUUAAGGUUUUGAUGAUGGGUUUGAAAAUGCACAAUUUUAUUUUCUCUGAAUGGCAAUGUGAGCAAUACAAAAUUACACAUCACUCUCGGUGGGAGAUUGACUGAAGAGAUCGGACAGGAUUCAGAUCCAUUCGUACUGGCUGCCUGGAGGGGCUGUAUUGAUAAUAUCCUAGCCUGCAAGGCUCAAUCCAUCCCCUGGGGCGCUCAGCAGCAAGUGGAUGAAGAGUCCCCGGACGGUCUUUUGGCUCCACCGCUAGACAUUGCAACAGAGGAAGAGAUCUGAACUCGUUCGAGUGCAGCAGAGCGAGGGGCAGAGAGCAGUGAUCACAGACGAGGGACCAGAUGGGAGAGAAAGUGACUUCCCGCUGUACUUCCACUACAUGGCUUGUUCCCUCACAUUAAUACCUUCGCUGCUCAGCUCCAUUUGUUACACACACUCCAGACACACACUCAGGGGGAGCCUCGGGCUGUGAAUGAUGGCCAUAUGCAGAACUGCGCUCAUCUAUAACCCCCCGUGGCUGCAACAAAGUACAGUAGGCACCUUGAGUGUUUCAACAAAGGUUAACAUUUAGAAGUUCUGCGGGCCUGUCUGAUUCGGC